UACGGAGGGUGCAAGUGUUACCCGGAAUCACUGGGCGUAAAGGGCGUGUAGGCGGUGAUAUAAGUCUAGUUUUAAAGACCGAAGCUCAACUUCGGGGGUGGACUGGAUACUGUGUUGCUAGACCUCUGGAGAGAGAAUCGGAAUUCCUGGUGUAGCGGUGGAAUGCGUAGAUACCAGGAGGAACACCAAUGGCGAAGGCAGGUUCUUGGACAGAAGGUGACGCUGAGGCGCGAAAGUGUGGGGAUCAAACAGG
rnacentral:rRNA from 1 species